AUGAACGUUGGCGGCGCGCUUAACACAUGCAAGUCGAGCGAGAACGCUUCUUCGGAAGCUAUUAAAGCGGCGGACGGGUGAGUAACGCGUAAGAAUCUACCCUUCAGUGAAGAAUACCUGCGAGAAAUCGUAGUUAAUGCUGCAUACGUCCCCUCGGGGAGAAAGAUGGCCUCUUUGCUGUCGCUGAAGGAUGAGCUUGCGUACUAUUAGCUUGUUGGUGGGGUAAAGGCCUACCAAGGCAAUGAUAGUUAGCCGGCCUGAGAGGGUGAUCGGCCACACUGGAACUUAGACACGGUCCAGACUCCUACGGGAGGCAGCAGUGAGGAAUUUUGCGCAAUGGGCGAAAGCCUGACGCAGCGACGCCGCGUGAAGGAUGAAGGCUUUAGAGUCGUAAACUUCUGUUGAGUAGGAAGAAAGACCUUUCUUUAAUAGAGAAAGGGGAUGACGGUACUACUUUAGAAAGCACCGGCUAAUCUCGUGCCAGCAGCCGCGGUAAUACGAGAGGUGCAAAUGUUAUUCGGAAUCAUUGGGCGUAAAGGGUGCGUAGGCGGCCCGUUAAGUUUGUCGUUAAAGACCCCGGCCUAACCGGGGAACAGCGAUGAAAACUGGCAGGCUAGAGAAUGGAAGAGAGAAGUGGAAUUCUCGGAGUAGCGGUAAAAUGCGUAGAUCUCGAGAGGAACACCGAUGGCGAAGGCAGCUUCUUGGUCCAUUUCUGACGCUGAGGCACGAAAGCGUGGGUAGCAAACAGGAUUAGAUACCCUAGUAGUCCACGCCGUAAACGAUGAUCACUAGAUGUCAGUCCCGCUUUAGGGAUUGGUGUCGGAGCUAACGCGUUAAGUGAUCCGCCUGGGGAGUACGGUCGCAAGAUUAAAACUCAAAGGAAUUGACGGGGGUCCGCACAAGCGGUGGAACAUGUGGUUUAAUUCGACAAUACGCGAGAAACCUUACCUAGAUUUGACAUGUAUUUGACCGCUGUGGAAACACAGUUUUCAAAGUUUACUUUGACAGAUACACAGGUGCUGCAUGGCUGUCGUCAGCUCGUGUCGUGAGAUGUUUGGUUAAGUCCUCUAACGAGCGCAACUCCUGUCUUUAGUUGCUAGCCUUUUGGCGCACUCUAAAGAGACUGCCUGGGAAACCAGGAGGAAGGUGGGAAUGACGUCAAGUCCUCAUGGUCCUUAUGUCUAGGGCUACACACGUGUUACAAUGGCUGUUACAAAGGGUUGCGAACCUGCAAAGGUAAGCUAAUCCCAUAAAAGCAGUCUAAGUUCGGAUUGAGGUCUGCAACUCGACCUCAUGAAGUUGAGAUCGCUAGUAAUCGCGUAUCAGAACGACGCGGUGAAUACGUUCUCGGACCUUGUACACACCGCCCGUCACACCACGAAAGUUGUUUGUACUCGAAUCUGUCUUAGCUAACCUUUUGGAGGCGGAUAGUUAAAGUAUGGAUGAUGAUUGGGGUGA
rnacentral:rRNA from 1 species